rnacentral:rRNA from 1 species
UACGAAGGGGGCUAGCGUUGUUCGGAAUUACUGGGCGUAAAGCGCGCGCCGGCGGGUCAUCAAGUCAGAGGUGAAAUCCCCGAGCUCAACUCUGGAACUGCCUUUGAAACUGGUGACCUUGAGUACGGGAGAGGUGAGUGGAAUUCCCAGUGUAGAGGUGAAAUGCGUAGAUAUUGGGAGGAACACCGGUGGCGAAGGCGGCGACCUGGUCCGAUACUGACGCUGAGGCGCGAAAGCGUGGGGAGCAAACAGG